rnacentral:ncRNA from 1 species
UUAAAGACAGUGAACAGAAGAGUAGGCCAAUUCUUUUUUAGCAGAGAUUUCUCAGGAGCUGAAAAGAGAAAAGAAAAGGUUGGCCGAACCACAUCUGCGAGUUACUAGAUUGAACGCAUAGUUUAGUAGGUUUAGUCGGGAGCCCCCGUUAACAGCUGAGUUUAAAACUCGCUAAGGUUAACUUUGUGAGAAGUUAACGUCAUUGAGGUGGGACCGCGUAGAUACGCCCUCUGA